GUCCCCGUAGUUCAAUGGAUAGAACGGCCCUCUCCUAAGGGGCAAAUGCAGGUUCGAUUCCCGCCGGGGAUACCA
rnacentral:tRNA from 2 species